rnacentral:rRNA from 1 species
UUAUUUAUAUAUAAAUAUAAUUUAUUAUAUAUUAAUAUAUUUUAGUAUUUUUAAUUAAUUUUAUUAUUAAUAAGAAUGUGAAUUUUAUUUGUUAAUUUUCUUAUAUAAUUUUUUAGUACCUUUUGUAUCAGGGUAAAUUAAUUUUUAAAAAUUAUUUUUGUUUCCCGAAAUUAAUAGUUCAUUAAAAUAAUUAUUUUAUUUGUAUUAUAAAUUAAAUUAAUAUUUUAUUGUGGAUAAAUUCCAUUCGAUUUUAAUUAUAUCUGGUUUCUUUAGAAAAAAUUUAAUUUUUUUAUUAUUUUAUUAAUAAAUAUUUAAUAAGGGAUAAUCUUUAUUAAUUUAUAAAAUUUAUUUUUAUUAUAUUUUUAUUAUUAUUUAUAUUUUAAAUUAAGUUAUUAAUAUAUUUAAAUGUUUUUAUUAAAAUUUUUUUUUAUUUAUUUUUAUAUAAAGUUUUUUUUAUUAAAUUUUGAUUUAAUUUUAAUUUUGAUUUUAUUAGUAAAAUUUUAUUUUAUAAUUAAAUGAAUUCGACAAAUUUAAUUUUCAACUGUUUAUCAAAAACAUUUUUUUCAGUUAUUAUUGAAAGUAAAUUCUGCCCUAUGAAUAUUUAAAUGGCUGCAGUAUUUUAACUGUACAAAGGUAGCAUAAUAAUUAGUCUUUUAAUUGAGGACUGGAAUGAAAGAUUUAAUGAGAAAUUUAUUUUAUUAAUUAUAUUAUUAUAACUUUAUUUUUAGGUAAAAAAGCUUAAUUAAUUAUUUGGGACGAAAAGACCCUAUAGAACUUUAUUUAGUUUUUAAAAAUUAAAUUUAAAUUUAUUUUUAAUUUUUUUUAUUAAAUUUGAUUGGGGUGAUUAAUAAACUUAAUCUUUAUUUUAAAAAUUCAUUAAUUUAUGUUAUUUAUGAUUUAUUAUUAAUAAUUCAUAGAAAAAGUUACCUUAGGGAUAACAGCGUAAUUUAUAUGGGGAGUUCAUAUCUAUAUAUAAGUUUGCGACCUCGAUGUUGAAUUAAGAUAAUUAAAAGGAGUAAAAAUUUUUUUAUUGAGUCUGUUCGACUCUUAAUUUCUUACAUGAUUUGAGUUCAAACCGGUGUAAGCCAGGUUGGUUUCUAUCUUAAUAUCUUAAAUUUAAUUUAGUACGAAAGGACCAGUUAAUUUAUUUUUAAUAUUUAGUUUAAUAAAAUUA